AUUGUGGGCUUGUACGAAUGGAGGAACGAGAAUUAAGCUGUCUCUAGAUUAUUAGUAGAAAUUAAUAUUAAAGUGAAAAAGCUUUAAUAUUUGUAUAAGACAAAAAGACCCUAUAGAGCUUUAAUUUAAAUUUAUAAAUAGAGAAAUUAGUAAAUAUUUUUUAUUUAUACAGUAAAAUUUUAACUGGGGCGGUUUAUGAAGAGUUAAUCUUCUUGAUGAGAUUAAAAUUUAUUAAUUGAUUUAGGUAAUUGAUCCUUAAAAAGAUAAAUAGAGUAGCUACCUUAGGGGUAACAGACUA
rnacentral:rRNA from 1 species